UGGAUCAUCCAUCAAGAUAUAUUACAAAGCUAGCAUGACAAGAUAUACAUGAAGAUCACAUAUGCUAACAUGAAAAGGUGGCUAGCAUACCAUGGUAUAUUCACAGCAUGAUACAAGGAUAAAACAUGCAAAUAGUAUACAAGUGAGCACAAGAGUGUGGAAGGGAAAGCUCACUAUACAAGUGUACAAAGGCCUCUUGAGGGCCAUCCAAAUGGUGUGGAGAACCAUCAAAUCUUGAACACCUCAAGCAAAAGAUCAAGUCCCUUCGAGCUCAUGUCCUCCACCUAAAUCCCCGUACCUACACAUGAUGGGACAAAGAAGACCAAGUCUUGGAUCCCAAAGGGUUGGCAAGCAUAUACUUGG
rnacentral:lncRNA from 1 species